rnacentral:rRNA from 1 species
GUCUACAGCCUUGCUACCCUAAACAAGCCCAAUCGCGUCUGAUCUCGGAAGUCAAGCAGCGUCGGGCCUGGCUAGUACUUGGAUGGGAGACCAUCUAGGAAGACCAGGUGCUGUAGGCA